AUCCCUAUGGUAUAAAAAUCUCUGGUAAUUACUCAGUUGACUGCUCUUGCGUGAAUGAAAAUGUCUUGCCCUGCCCAGGGACGGCGAACAACCUUCGAAAUAACCUUUUCCGAACGAUGUCAGCAGUCAGGAACUUGAGAGCAAAACACGCGAACCAGUAACCAUCAAUCUUGAGGAGAAUUUGGCGACUUAUACAGGAUUCACCCAGUUCUACCGAAGCGAUGUGUAAAUACUCCAAGAUAAAGUUAGUCCCAGGUACUUAAAAGGAUCGUCUUUACCCUUCGGUUGAGAUAACGAACUCUGCUCAACGAGGGACAUUCCUAUAGUAUCGAUGGUGUCAAAUCCGAACCCUCCUCCUCCGGGCUUGGACGACCAGAGAACCUUCUUCAGAAAAAAAAAAACAGACAAAGCCAUCGCAACAGAGACGGACCGGAGGCAGCAUCAUCUUCAUCGUUUCGGGCUCGACGCGACAAGG
rnacentral:lncRNA from 1 species